GUAAUGCCCCACCCAAGCGUAUAACAGGUACGGCUUUGAAGAGAAGGCCCCGGAGAUGGUUAUUGGACACGGACCCAGCCCCUAUGGGGCGCAGCAGGCGAGAAACCUUUGCAAUGUGCGAAAGCACGACAAGGUUAAUCCGAGUGUCUCCUGCUAAAGGAGUCUUUUGUCAGUUGUAGAAUCACUGGUGAAUAAGGGGUGGGCAAGUUCUGGUGUCAGCCGCCGCGGUAAAACCAGCACCUCGAGUGGUCAGGAGGUUUAUUGGGCCUAAAGCAUCCGUAGCCGGUUGCAUAAGUUUUCGGUUAAAUCUAUGCGCUUAACGUAUAGGCCGCCGAAAAUACUGUGCAGCUAGGGAGUGGGAGAGGUACACGGUACUCGAUAGGAAGGGGUAAAAUCCUUUGAUCUAUUGAAGACCACCUGUGGCGAAGGCGGUGUACCAGAACACGUUCGACGGUGAGGGAUGAAAGCUUGGGGGAGCAAACCGGAUUAGAUACCCGGGUAGUCCCAGCUGUAAACGAUGCAGACUCGNNGUGAUGCANNNUUGGCUUGUGNNGCCAAUGCANNGUGCCGCAGGGAAGCNNNCCGNUUAAGUUGCUGCCGCCUGGGAAGUACGUACGCAAGUAUGACUAAGGAAUGGCGGGGGAGCACCACAGGGGUGAAGCCUGCGG
rnacentral:rRNA from 1 species